AUUGAACGCUGGCGGCAUGCCUUACACAUGCAAGUCGAACGGCAGCACGGGAGCAAUCCUGGUGGCGAGUGGCGAACGGGUGAGUAAAGUAUCGGAACGUGCCCAGUCGUGGGGGAUAACGUAGCGAAAGUUACGCUAAUACCGCAUACGAUCUAUGGAUGAAAGCGGGGGAUCGCAAGACCUCGCGCGAUUGGAGCGGCCGAUAUCAGAUUAGGUAGUUGGUGGGGUAAAGGCUCACCAAGCCGACGAUCUGUAGCUGGUCUGAGAGGACGACCAGCCACACGGGGACUGAGACACGGCCCAGACUCCUACGGGAGGCAGCAGUGGGGAAUUUUGGACAAUGGGCGAAAGCCUGAUCCAGCCAUGCCGCGUGCAGGACGAAGGCCUUCGGGUUGUAAACUGCUUUUGUACGGAACGAAAAGGUUUGGCCUAAUAAGCUGAGCUCAUGACGGUACCGUAAGAAUAAGCACCGGCUAACUACGUGCCAGCAGCCGCCGUAA
rnacentral:rRNA from 1 species